GUGGGCGUAGCUCAGUCGGUAGAGCAUCGGAUUGUGGAUCCGAGGGUCGUGGGUUCAAAUCCCAUCGCCCACCCCA
rnacentral:tRNA from 1 species